rnacentral:rRNA from 1 species
ACGGGUUGUUGCUGGUCCUCAACGGGAGUGUGCAUACUCNGUUUACGCAUCGACUCACAUGUGCACCCUCCGUAGUUCUGUGGUCUGGGGGACCCUGUCUUCCUGCCGUGGUUCUACGUCUUUACACACACACUGUAAUAAAGUCUUAUGGAAUGUAUGCCGCGUCUAACGCAAUACAAUACAACUUUCAGCAACGGAUCUCUUGGCUCUCGCAUCGAUGAAGAACGCAGCGAAAUGCGAUAAGUAAUGUGAAUUGCAGAAUUCAGUGAAUCAUCGAAUCUUUGAACGCACCUUGCGCCCCUUGGCUAUUCCGAGGGGCAUGCCUGUUUGAGUAUCAUGAACACCUCAACUCUCAUGGUUUGCCGUGAUGAGCUUGGACUCUGGGGGUUUUGCUGGCCUGCGGUCGGCUCCCCUCAAAUGAAUCAGCCUCCCAGUGUUUGGUGGCAUCACGGGUGUGAUAAAUAUCUACGCUCGCAGUUGUCCGCCAGGUAACCUUUGGUAACAAAGGUUCGCUGGAGCUCACAGAUGUCUCUCCUCAGCGAGGACAGCUUUUUGAACGUUCGAUCUCAAAUCAGGUAGGACUACCCGCUGAACUUAAGCAUAUCAAUAAGCGGAGGAAAAGAAACUAACAAGGAUUCCCCUAGUAACUGCGAGUGAAGCGGGAAGAGCUCAAAUUUAAAAUCUGGCGUGCCUCUGGUCGUCCGAGUUGUAGUCUAGAGAAGCGUUUUCCGUGCUGGACCGUGUAC